AUGCAGGCCAGGGAUUACCACCACCCUGCUUAUCCUAUCAGUGAGGGAAAAAAGAAAAGAAUUGGAAGCCUUGCAGUUGAAUCCAGUUCAGUUCAGUUCAGUCCAGUCGCUCAGUCGUGUCCGACUCUUU
rnacentral:lncRNA from 1 species